GUAAAGCACUUUCAGUAGGGAGGAAGGUAGUGUAGUUAACACCUGCAUUAUUUGACGUUACCUACAGAAGAAGCACCGGCUAACUCCGUGCCAGCAGCCGCGGUAAUACGGAGGGUGCGAGCGUUAAUCGGAAUUACUGGGCGUAAAGCGCAUGCAGGCGGCCUGUUAAGUCAGAUGUGAAAGACCCGGGGCGUUAACCUCGGAAUUGCAUUUGAAACUGGCAGGCUAGAGUCUUGUAGAGGGGGGUAGGAAUUUCAGGUGUAGCGGUGAAAUGCGUAGAGAUCUGAAGGAAUACCAGUGGCGAAGGCGGCCCCCUCGGACAAAGACUGACGCUCAGAUGCGAAAGCGUGGGGAGCAAACAGGAUUAGAUACCCUGGUAG
rnacentral:rRNA from 1 species